rnacentral:rRNA from 1 species
CUUAGAGUUUGAUCCUGGCUCAGGAUGAACGCUGGCGGCAUGCCUAAGACAUGCAAGUCGAACGAGAUGGCCCAGUGAAGGUUGAGUGCUUGCACAAGACUGAAUCUGGAUUCCCAUCUAGUGGCAGACGGGUGAGUAACACGUGGGUGACCUACCUUUUCGUUGGGGAUAACAGUUGGAAACGAUUGCUAAUACCGAAUAAAAUGUAAGAGUCAAUUUUACAUUGAAAGGAGCCUUUAAAGCUUCGCGAUUAGAUGGGCCUGCGGCGUAUUAACUAGUUGGUGAGGUAAUGGCUUACCAAGGUGACGAUGCGUAGCCGAACUGAGAGGUUGAUCGGCCACAUUGGGACUGAGACACGGCCCAAACUCCUACGGGAGACAGCAGUUAGGAAUAUUCGUCAAUGGAGGAAACUCUGAACGAGCAAUGCCGCGUGAGUGAUGAAGGUCUUAUAGAUUAUAAAACUCUGUUGUAUGGAAAAAACGACUAGGUUAGGAAAUGAACUUAGUGUGAUGGUACCAUACCAGAAAGCCCCGGCUAACUACGUGCCAGCAGCCGCGGUAAUACGUAGGGGGCGAGCGUUAUCCGGAUUUAUUGGGCGUAAAGCGUGUGUAGGCGGUUUAUUAAGUUUAAGAUUAAAGCCCGGGGCUCAACUCCGGUAAGUCUUAAAAACUGGUAGACUUGAGUACGGUAGAGGCAAACGGAAUUUCUGGUGUAGCGGUGAAAUGCGUAGAUAUUAGAAGGAACACCAGUGGCGAAAGCGGUUUGCUGGGCCGUUACUGACGCUGAGGCACGAAAGCGUGGGGAGCAAAUAGGAUUAGAUACCCUAGUAGUCCACGCCGUAAACGAUGAGUACUAAGUGUUGGGGUUACCCAGUGCUGAAGCUAACGUAUUAAGUACUCCGCCUGAGUAGUACGGUCGCAAGGCU